rnacentral:rRNA from 1 species
AGUCGAGCGAAUGGAUUAAGAGCUUGCUCUUAUGAAGUUAGCGGCGGACGGGUGAGUAACACGUGGGUAACCUGCCCAUAAGACUGGGAUAACUCCGGGAAACCGGGGCUAAUACCGGAUAACAUUUUGAACCGCAUGGUUCGAAAUUGAAAGGCGGCUUCGGCUGUCACUUAUGGAUGGACCCGCGUCGCAUUAGCUAGUUGGUGAGGUAACGGCUCACCAAGGCAACGAUGCGUAGCCGACCUGAGAGGGUGAUCGGCCACACUGGGACUGAGACACGGCCCAGACUCCUACGGGAGGCAGCAGUAGGGAAUCUUCCGCAAUGGACGAAAGUCUGACGGAGCAACGCCGCGUGAGUGAUGAAGGCUUUCGGGUCGUAAAACUCUGUUGUUAGGGAAGAACAAGUGCUAGUUGAAUAAGCUGGCACCUUGACGGUACCUAACCAGAAAGCCACGGCUAACUACGUGCCAGCAGCCGCGGUAAUACGUAGGUGGCAAGCGUUAUCCGGAAUUAUUGGGCGUAAAGCGCGCGCAGGUGGUUUCUUAAGUCUGAUGUGAAAGCCCACGGCUCAACCGUGGAGGGUCAUUGGAAACUGGAAGACUUGAGUGCAGAAGAGGAGAGUGGAAUUCCAUGUGUAGCGGUGAAAUGCGUAAAGAUAUGGAGGAACACCAGUGGCGAAGGCGACUUUCUGGUCUGUAACU